AAGGGAACGAGACAUACACGCGCGUCACCGUUAGCGCUCCACACCGGAGCGCUGAGUGUGAACGAUGACAAGUAGGAGAGAGACUGGAGGAGAUGGAGGAGGAGAGGCAGGAAGAGAGACAGAAAGAAAUGGAAGAGAGACAGGAGGAGAUAGAGGAGAGACAGAAGCCUCACAGGCUGAGCCCUGACUGAGGAAGGGUUGGGGCCUGUCCAAGCCGGGGCCUAGCUCCCCAAGCAUCCACUCCUUUUGCAGGGCUUGAGUGGGUCUUCCCUAAAAUUCCCCGCGGCUUGGUGGACAGCAACCUUCUCCCAUGACUAAUAGCUCUUAACUUGCGCUGGCACAUUUAAAAAAAAUUUUUUUUUUUUUUGUAUGUUCAGGUUUUAGCUUCUCCUAGGACUGUCAAAUAAGUUUUUAUGGUUGCCAACAAAUGUUUUUAACAUCUUGUUUUUAGUUCAUAUAUUUAAUAAACCUUAUUGUUAUUACUUGAAAACAUUGUCUCUGCUGUCCUGUUUGUGUCAAAUUGGUAAAGAGGACCAUCUGAAAUGGUCCCAGUCCUCACCCUCUUGUCACACUUUGUAACGUGAUUAAUUCUUUCAGGGAGAAGUAGUGGAUGGCAAUUUGAAUAUGAAUAAAAACAUCACUGUUACUAAUCCCACUUUAGCAUUUGGGGGUUGGCUUGCGGUCCUAAAGACGUCCUGUAAUGCUCAUUUUCGGGGUCAUAUUUGUAAUGUUUAGGUCUAGUGGAACAGAAUUAGGUGCUUUAAUGUUCAAAAAACUUUUUUUUUUUACACUGUCCACUUCUGCAGCACCUCUGUCUGAAACAAUCUGUUUGGGCUUAUAUCCCACUUCCCCAGCAUUCCAUUCUGCUUGGUCAGCUUGCUCAGUCUGUUGUGCUUGGUGCAACACGUAGAGCGUGUAUCGGAAAUGUCACGCCCCUUACCUUACCUGAAUAUCACCUCCUGAGGCUGCAUGAGAAGCUUAAAGUCAGAGUCGGACUCUGAGGCCUAGUCCACACGAGCACGGGUAUUUUUAAAACCGAACUUUUUUGGCCUCCAGUUUUUAAAAAAUCUGCGUCCAUACGAGCGGUG